AUGGGGAGCAAGGUUUCUUUGAGAGAAAAGGCCGUGAUGUUGCCGUGUGGUGUGGAGCCCAGAGAAGCCCGGUCCAAUAACCCAACCGAUAGCCCAGCCUAUAAACACGCAACCCUCAGUCCCCACCCCUCCUCUCUCCCCAAACCCUCGCCCCUCCCCUCCUCCUCCCCGCCGCCGCCGCCGCCGCCACCUCCUCUCCCCUCGCCCCAACCCCCAUCACCGGCGAAGAUGAAGACGAUCCUGGCGUCGGAGACGAUGGAGAUCCCGGAGGAGGUGACCGUCAAGGUGUCCGCGAAGAUGAUCUCGGUGACGGGGCCGCGGGGCACGCUGACCCGCAACUUCAAGCACCUCAACCUCGACUUCCAGCUGCAGGAGGGCGGGCGCAAGCUCAAGGUGGACGCCUGGUUCGGCACCCGCAAGACCAUGGCCGCCAUCCGCACCGCCAUCUCCCACGUCCAGAACCUCAUCACCGGCGUCACCAAGGGCUUCCGCUACAAGAUGCGGUUCGUGUACGCCCACUUCCCCAUCAACGCCUCCAUCACCGCCGCCAACCGCGGCAUCGAGAUCAGGAACUUCCUCGGCGAGAAGAAGGUGAGGAAGGUGGACAUGCUCGACGGGGUCACCAUCUUGCGGUCCGAGAAGGUCAAGGAUGAGAUCGUCCUCGACGGCAACGACAUCGAGCUCGUCUCCCGCUCCGCCGCCCUCAUCAACCAGAAAUGCCACGUCAAGAACAAGGAUAUCAGGAAGUUCUUGGACGGUAUCUACGUCAGCGACAAGGGCGCCAUCAAGGAGGAGUAG
rnacentral:rRNA from 1 species